rnacentral:rRNA from 1 species
CCUACGGGAGGCAGCAGUGGGGAAUAUUGCACAAUGGGGGAAACCCUGAUGCAGCGACGCCGCGUGAGUGAAGAAGUCCUUCGUUAUGUAAAGCUCUAUCAGCAGGGAAGAAAAUGACGGUACCUGUGUACUACGCCCCGGCUAACUACGUCCCAGCAGCCGCGGUCAUACGUAGGGGGCACGCGUUAUCCGGAUUUACUGGGUGUAAAGGGAGCGUAGACGGUAGUGCAAGUCUGGAGUGAAAGCCGCGGGCUCAACCCCCGGACUGCUCUGGAAACUGUACGGCUGGAGUGCAGGAGAGGGAAGUGGAAUUCCUAGUGUAGCGGUGAAAUGCGUAGAUAUGAGGAGGAACACCAGUGGCGAAGGCAGCUUACUGGACUGUAACUGACGCUGAGGCUCGAAAGCGUGGGGAGCAAACAGGAUUAGAUACCCUUGUAGUC